rnacentral:rRNA from 1 species
UGGGGAAUAUUGCACAAUGGGCGCAAGCCUGAUGCAGCCAUGCCGCGUGUAUGAAGAAGGCCUUCGGGUUGUAAAGUACUUUCAGCGGGGAGGAAGGCGGUAAGGUUAAUAACCUUGUCGAUUGACGUUACCCGCAGAAGAAGCACCGGCUAACUCCGUGCCAGCAGCCGCGGUAAUACGGAGGGUGCAAGCGUUAAUCGGAAUUACUGGGCGUAAAGCGCACGCAGGCGGUCUGUCAAGUCGGAUGUGAAAGCCCCGGGCUCAACCUGGGAACUGCAUUCGAAACUGGCAGGCUAGAGUCUUGUAGAGGGGGGUAGAAUUCCAGGUGUAGCGGUGAAAUGCGUAGAGAUCUGGAGGAAUACCGGUGGCGAAGGCGGCCCCCUGGACAAAGACUGACGCUCAGGUGCGAAAGCGUGGGGAGCAAACA